GAUAAACGCUGGCGGCGUGCUUCAGGCAUGCAAGUCGAACGGGUGUCUACCUUCGGGUAGCCACUAGUGGCGGACGGGUGAGUAACGCGUUAGCAACCUGCCCAAAGGUGGGGAAUAACUAACCGAAAGGUUAGCUAAUACCGCAUGUGAUAGCUGGUUCUUGGACUGGUUAUGAAAGGCUUCGGUCGCCUUUGGAGGGGCUUGCGUCAGAUUAGCUUGUUGGUGGGGUAAUGGCCUACCAAGGCGACGAUCUGUAGCUGGUCUGAGAGGAUGGUCAGCCACACGGGGACUGAGAUACGGCCCCGACUCCUACGGGAGGCAGCAGCUAGGAAUCUUGGGAAUGGGCGAAAGCCUGACCCAGCAACGCCGCGUGGGCGAUGAAGGCCUUC
rnacentral:rRNA from 1 species